rnacentral:rRNA from 1 species
UACGGAGGGUGCAAACGUUGCUCGGAAUCAUUGGGCGUAAAGCGCACGUAGGCGGCUAGAUAAGUCGGGUGUGAAAGCCCUGGGCUCAACCCAGGAAGUGCAUUCGAAACUGUCUAGCUUGAAUCUCGGAGGGGGUCAGAGAAUUCCCGGUGUAGAGGUGAAAUUCGUAGAUAUCGGGAGGAAUACCAGUGGCGAAGGCGCUGACCUGGACGAAGAUUGACGCUGAGGUGCGAAAGCGCGGGGA